rnacentral:rRNA from 1 species
UGAGGAAUAUUGGUCAAUGGACGAAAGUCUGAACCAGCAACGCCGCGUGAGGGAUGAAGGUCUAAGGAUCGUAAACCUCUGUUAGAGGGGACGAAUGGUCUCGAAUUGGCGAGACUUGACGGUACCCUCAGAGAAAGCCCCGGCUAACUACGUGCCAGCAGCCGCGGUAAUACGUAGGGUGCAAGCGUUAAUCGGAAUUACUGGGCGUAAAGCGUGCGCAGGCGGUUGUGUAAGUCAGAUGUGAAAUCCCCGGGCUCAACCUGGGAAUUGCAUUUGAGACUGCACGGCUAGAGUGUGUCAGAGGGGGGUAGAAUUCCACGUGUAGCAGUGAAAUGCGUAGAUAUGUGGAGGAAUACCGAUGGCGAAGGCAGCCCCCUGGGAUAACACUGACGCUCAUGCACGAAAGCGUGGGGAGCAAACAGGAUUAGAUACCCGCGUAGUCCCUGAGCGGGCUGGCAAGGCGCAU